rnacentral:lncRNA from 1 species
AGUAGUAUCUUCCAACAGCCAAACGAACUGGACCCAUCGGACAUGCAGGGGCCCACGGGCCAGUUUGCUUCGCAAAUUUCAAGGGCGCUUGUGGUAAUCAUUAUACGCCUCCGGCAUAAUAAAGAAAAUGCUGCUAAGAAAACCUGCUUCAGUCGAAAGCAAAUUUGAAAAGGUUACCAGCAGGGCCAUAAAGCAACACCUUUGACCGGGAACGUCACCUCCUCGGGCCUGAGACGCACACUCGCAGCACGUGCGGCUGCGGCGUUAUCCCGCUCAUAAGACAUAAGAAAUAUCCUCUUGGCCCUCCUCUUGCCUGACAACCCUCCCGCAUAUCAGAACAUGCCCACCUAGAGGACACCUUGCUGUGAACUGUUUGCGUGAAGGCCCUAAAAGGCGCACAAGUUUCCUCCCUGAUCUCCACCAACUUGCCUGCCGCGAGAACGGCUCACCAUAUUUCUUGCCCGCCUAGCUGCUCCUCCAGACAUCCUC